CCUACGGGAGGCAGCAGUGAGGAAUAUUGGUCAAUGGACGCAAGUCUGAACCAGCCAUGCCGCGUGCAGGAAGACGGCUCUAUGAGUUGUAAACUGCUUUUGUACGAGGGUAAACGCAGAUACGCGUAUCUGUCUGAAAGUAUCGUACGAAUAAGGAUCGGCUAACUCCGUGCCAGCAGCCGCGGUAAUACGGAGGAUUCAAGCGUUAUCCGGAUUUAUUGGGUUUAAAGGGUGCGUAGGCGGUCGGAUAAGUUAGAGGUGAAAUCCCGAGGCUCAACUUCGGAAUUGCCUCUGAUACUGUUCGGCUAGAGAGUAGUUGCGGUAGGCGGAAUGUAUGGUGUAGCAGUGAAAUGCUUAGAGAUCAUACAGAACACCGAUUGCGAAGGCAGCUUACCAAUCUAUAUCUGACGUUGAGGCACGAAAGCGUGGGGAGCAAACAGGAUUAGAUACCCGGGUAGUC
rnacentral:rRNA from 1 species